rnacentral:misc_RNA from 1 species
AUAUUAUUAGUUUCAGUUUAUUAAAAUGUCUGCUCUCAACAGCUGCGGGAAGUAAGGAAGUAUAUGGGCAUGAAUUAUUAUUUUCAUAUGACGAAGACACGAUUUUUGUAAGAGUGUUUGGGGUGACUAAACUUGAUCCAAAAUGUCAGAUGCAGAUGAGCGUGCUUCCUGUGAUAAUACUUCAGAUCCAGAGGAAGGGGAGGAAGAACAACUUGCUACAUGUGGUGGCUCCUCCUCUCCUUCUCAUUUUGCACAGCCUUGUGACCAGUCUGUAGCGUCAGCCACAGAUGAUGGAGCAGACAACUAUAGCAUGGAAGUGCAUCUGGGAGGCGAUAACUCUCAACAUGCCAGUGAAAUCAGUUCCAUAUCUUAUCAGAACCUUCUGGAGGAAGGAGAGCCCACUGGCAGCAUCCUUUCUCGUAGGGGUAGCGAAGACAGUACUGAUUCCUAUCCACCAGAUUUCCCUGAAAGCAACCCCUCUGAUGAUAUAGAAACAUUUGAGGCAUCAGAUUUACCAUUGUCAGAACACUACAAUCUCAGGAUUAAACAGCUGCCUGCUAAAGCAUAUUCAUCCUCAGGAGGAGAAGAAGGUGAACCUAGGCAUGAGAGCUCAGCUAAAUCUGUUUCAGAGAGCAAAGACAAAAAGAAAGAUAGCUGUGCAGAAGGCGGAAAAAACUAUAGCACUGGUGACAGCAGUGGUAUAGAGAACAACACCCUACCUUUAGACACAGCCUUGUCAAAGAAAGCUUCGAAAAGCCUGAAUAUAUCGGAACCUGUUACUCCAGACACAUCGGCUGUCAUAAAAAGGAAAAGGUCUCCUCAGAUUAAUGCUUCUUCUCAUACCAAUCGACCAGAAGAUGGUGAGGAGGUUACAAGGAAGCGCAACAGCCUCGAAAUCCGCAAUAACAUUCCAGUAGUCGGUGAAGUGAAGAUGUGUGAUAGCAGUCCUCCAACUUGCACCCCACCGUUACAUGGGGCCAAGCCCAAAAUAAAAAACUUGAAACAGUCUCCUGGUCUAGCCCGAAGGGUAUGUGAUCAGUCUGGUACCAGGGACAGCUCAAGUUCAGAACGGGAAACAGAAGCACGCAGAAGUGGUGAACCUGUACAGUGCCCAGUGCACACACCUAUUAUGUUGCUGCAUGUGACGUCUACUGGCCAGGACGAGAGGGUCAUUGAUACUGAAAUCCCAACUGGUAAAGUUGAUAUAAUUGCUCCCUUGCGACGAAAUGUUGAUAUAGAAAAUGAAUAUGACUAUGUCAAAUAUGCCCGGGUUCAACAUGGAAACUCUUAUGUUGGGAUGCGUCUUGCCUACUCCAGCUCAAAUGACUCAUUAAGUUUGAAGCGUAACAGUGUUCACAGCCAUGGAAGUGACUCCAUUGAUAGUUCACGCGAGCCAUCACCAGAGAAAGUUCUUCAUCAGAAAAUGAUUGGUGAUUUAAAUGAGCAUAUAUCCCAAGACCGUGUUUGUGAAGAAACUCUGACCGAGAUUCCACUCAAUGCAUCAGAUUCAUGCCUCAAUGAAGGGAAAAAACCAUUUACUUUGUCGCCAGAAAACACGGAAUGUGACAGCGUUGAAGUAGAGAGUGUGACUUCUGAUGGAGAAAACUCCACACCGGGCUUCCCAACAGUGGAAGAUGGACUGUCUAGUAGCCAAGCAAGUGAUGCUGAAGAGGGUCCUAGUGGGGAUCACACUUCUCCAUCACACAUGCUGCGCAUGAAACAAAAAGCUGACCUAGAAAAUGACAUGAGAAAUUCUGAUGAUUCAUCAAGAGGAGGUCCCCGUGACAUAGAUGCACAAGCAAUUAUGAAUGAUUUGAAAGCUAAGCGGGAAGCUUUGGACAUGGCUAUUGCAGACAUCAAAUCUGCCAUACAGCGAAGCAAGCAGGUUGCAUUGCAGUCUCCUUAUGACAAUCAUCAGUCUGAUCAGAAUGAGCCAGUGUGGAUUCGCAGAGAUCCACCACAAGGAGAGCGAAAAGAACGACAAGAGGAGAUGCGCAGAGUGAGAGAGGAAAUAGAACGUCAGCAAGAAGAAAAAUACCAGCCAAAAGAAGACAAAGGUGAAGACAGUGAGACCAUUACUCUGUCACCAUUUCCUAACACUCAUGAAGUGACUGUGGAACCUGAAGAUGAGAGCAGCAGAAAGCCGAGAGUACUGCAUGGGUCGGGUUAUGAUUCUGAUGACGAAUGUGAAGAGGUUGGUGGCAUGCGGUACACUCGUCGUAACAAAGGCAAAAAAUAUGCCCCUCUCCGCAAAGAAGAUUCUUUAGAACAUGGGGCCAGCAUGGGGAGUGUGAAAGAAAAGAGUGGUUUUGGCAGCACUGCCACCAAUCAGAAUGCCAAUGGCCGAACCCCUCACUCUUCGAACUGUUCCAAUCACGUUAACAAUCUCAAGCAUAAUUCGCAUUCCCAGUAUUCUUCGGAAGAAAAUGGAAGUGAUGUCGAUCCAACCAGCAGGGGCUCGUAUGUACAACACCAGCAUGGAGAUUCUGACACAGAUGAAGAGACCGACCGUCUGCUGCAGAAACAGUAUCAAAGGAGAGAUCAGUAUGUGGAAAUCCCAGAGCUUGACAAUCAGGCUGUCCAGCAACAGACACAGGCACAAAUGCAUCAAUCAAAGGCAAAAGAAGUUGCCAUUCGUGAUCCUGACCGACCUGAAGUGCUAAUUGAAGGGGUUCUUUUUCGUGCCCGAUACUUGGGCUCCACACAACUUGUGUCAGAAGGUCAGCCAUCCAAAGCAAUGCGCAUGAUGCAAGCUCAGGAGGCAGUCGGCCGUAUCAAGGCUUCGAGGGAGACUUUGGGCGUUUUGCAUUUUGGUGAUCGAUAUCAGGCCCCGGAAGGAGAGAGUCAGCCCAGCACAGACGUGGACCUCUUCGUCUCCACAGAGAAGAUCAUGGUGCUCAACACUGACCUGCAGGAGAUAAUGAUGGACCACUCUCUUCGCACCAUCUCCUACAUCGCUGACAUCGGCGACAUUCUAGUCAUAAUGGCACGUCGUCGCAUCCUGACAAGUCCUGAUGAGACGCUGAUGCGUCGUCGCCGGCAGGCCAAGAUCUUGUGCCACGUCUUCGAGUCUGACGAGGCACAGCUGAUAGCACAGUCCAUCGGCCAAGCAUUUCAGGUGGCAUACCUUGAGUUUCUCAAAGCAAAUGGCAUUGAGGACCCUGGCCUCCUACGGGAGAUGGACUACCAGGAUGUCCUCAACCAGCAAGAAAUCUAUGGAGAGGAGUUACAGCUGUUUGCCAACAAAGACUUUCAUAAAGAGGUGAUUGUACCCAAGAUGAAAGGUGAACCACUAGGAGUGGUGAUUGUGGAGUCAGGCUGGGGAUCCAUGGUGCCUACAGUUGUACUGGCCAACAUGCUGCCCAAUGGGCCGGCAGCACGCUGUGGACAGCUAAACAUUGGUGAUCAAAUCAUAUCCAUCAAUGGAGUGUCUCUGGUGGGGCUUCCUCUUUCUGCAUGUCAGACCUAUGUCAAGGCAUCCAAACACAGACUGUGGUGAAGCUGACUGUUGUUCCCUGCCCUCCUGUGGUUGAGGUGCUGAUCAAGCGCCCUGACGUCAAGUAUCAACUCGGCUUCAGUGUCCAGAAUGGAGUGAUCUGCAGCCUGUUGAGAGGGGGCAUAGCAGAAAGAGGUGGAGUGCGAGUAGGGCAUCGCAUCAUUGAAAUCAACAACCAGAGUGUUGUUGCCGUACCUCACGAGAAAAUAGUGUCUCUUCUUGCAAAUUCUGUGGGAGAGAUCCACAUGAAGACCAUGCCCACCUCAAUAUUUCGGCUGCUGACAGGACAAGACAUACCUCACUACUUAUAGUGACUGCUCAGCCCUGCUACCAUGCAUCCAACAUGGACUUGCAUAGAGAGAAGUUGCAGAUGAAUGGCUGUCAGCAAAGAAAGUUAUGACGACCUACAUUUUUGUUGUAGAUCAAGUCAGGCAUCACAGAUUUGCCUGAAAGAGUAUACCAAACUAAGAGAGAUAGCUGCAGUCAUAGAUUUAAUGCAUUUAUAAACAUUUUUUAGUUUUUUAUGGGGUUCGAAGAAAGAUGGAAACAUCAGCGUCCGUGAAGGUUCCAUAACACACAGUUAAGUGUGUUUGCGGUGAAAAUGUGUCAAAGACUUUCACUUUACAUUCAUCUUAACUGCUGGUCAAGUGAAAAGUCUUUUUAGUAAGCACACAGCCCCUCAGCAAGGUUUUUUCCUGUUUCAUGAAGCUAAGGAAAGUGGUGUCUCCAUAGGUAUGGUAACCUGAGUUUGACUUUUUAGUCAAAAGGUUUGAAGUUGAUUACAGUAGAAAAGGCUACACUACGUUCCAGGAUUCAAGACACCAGGUGGAAGUUUGCAGCAUGUGUUGAUUGUACAAAUCAUUUAUUAAAGGAGGCGAAGCUCGUGACAGAAAAAUGUAAAGCGAGGAAACUUGAAUACAUUUCUCUAAGUUGCCCAUAAACCCCAGUGGUUUCUUGAGUAACGACAGACUGAAGCAGGCUUUACAUGACUGUGUGUUGUAAAGCUGGAGGCACAAUAGGCUAACGAUUGUGUGUAAUUAGAUAUUGAUUGAGGGCUGGUUGAUUGAUGCAGAGGUCUGGGGCUAGGGAAAUAGCAGUUUCUGUGAAAAGCACAUGUUUUGGGAUUUUGACAUUGUGUUCAUAGGAAGAAAAAACUUUUUUUUUUUUUUGUUUUUUGGGGUUUUUUUUUGAUAAAUGACUUUCAUGUCUGCUGUGGUCUCUAAGUACGUGCAGUAGAUUUAUUGCCCACUACUUAACUGUAAAAAUAAGUUUGAAUAGGUAGUCUUAGAAAUCUAGGCAUUUCUUUCUUUAUCUUGUUUGGGGGUGGGGGAAGAAUGUACAUGCAUGUCCUGUUCUAGAUUAAGGAGGAGGGGGGAAUUGGUGUUUUACGCGGAGCCAGCAACUAGGGCUACAUCACCGCAAAGCAGCCAUCCCUGUAAAAGGUUGUCACAUGCAGAAAAAGAACGGUAUGCCCGAGACGAGAGCUGAACCCAAGACAGCCAACCUUCACAGCCUGUAUUGGUGACAGGUGCUAACCGUUGCACCAACGGACUGACCUCUCUAGAUUAAGGAGUAUGCCCUAAGUAUGAAGUAACAGUUUAAUGUAACAGGCUGGGGAUUUUAGUUUAGCUGUUCCAUUUUAGCAAUAUUUCAACUACAUUUAUGCACACACAUGCAUUCACUCUUCACCUAAGAAUUUUUCAGUAGAGACCUUUUUAACUGUUGUUGUUGAAGAAUAUUCGUUUUCACUUGCCAUGACUCUUUUUAAGUGAUAGCAAACCUGCCUUUGAUGUACAUGUUGUAAAGAGCUUGUUAGCAUGGUUUAUACUAGAUAUUAUGAAACAGAGUAUUUGCAUUGCCUACCUCUGUCCAUUCUUCACUGGCUUGAACUACAAACCCAGUCCACUCUCAUUUUAAAAAAUAUUAAAGAAAUCUGUUUGUGCUGGAUCAUGUUUGAUGAGUGUAAUGCAAGUGACGGAUAAGAAGAGCUGAAUUAUUCUUGUGUUAUUUUGUGCCUUCUGUCAUAGUUUGGAAUAUAUGUAGAAUCUCUCUGAUUCAGUUAUUAGUUUUCCUUUGGGAGGGUCUUUAUAUUUGUUAAUGCUCCCUUCUUGAAAGACAUUUCAAAGUUUUGGAGAAUUUUCUGUAUUUCAUGGGAACAGGAAACCUUAAUAUUUUAAACAUUCUGUUUUGUGAUGUCAAAAUUUGAUUUCUGGAUUUGGGAAUAUGAUAAUUUUAAAAACAAGUUUUGACAUGCAAAAGCCUGUUUUGUUUAGGUGUGUUGACAAGUUUAUUGAACGAUUCUUUUUAACUUGAGGGAGACAAGUCACAUAGUACUGUAUCAACAAAAGUUCGAUCAUGAAAAUGAACAUAAGGAGAAACCAUUGGUAAAGAAUCACCAAUUCAUUACCUUUUUUGUUUUUGUAGUAAGCUAUCAUGCUUUCUGUGUCUAGCAUAAAGUUAAAACCAUAAUAGUGUAUAAUGAUUUUCUGCCUUGCCAGUGGCUUUUAUUGUGUACAUACCAAGAAGUCUAAACGUGUUUUUAUAACUGACCUUGGCAGUCUGCCUUUAGAACAGUCAUAUAUUAUUAUUCAUACUGGCAGCAUAAUGCUUCCUGUUUUGGCAGUGUUACAGUUGCAUUAUGGAUUUCACUUCUGUAUGACUUGUAAUUCCUUUGUCAAGCCAUGGUAUCAGUUAGGAUGGCCUUGGAAGGAAAAGAACCAGAAACAGGCAUCUUGCAAGUUUACCAGUUCUUACUGUGUUUAAUCAUUGUCACAAAAUGAUGCAAAUUGGAAGUGGUGAGAUGUACACUCAUACCAUGAUGAAGGCAGAACAUGUUUUGGGUCAUGCAUGCCAUAAACUGUUGGUGACAAGUUUUGUGGGGGGUUUUUAUGUGAUGUGAUCGUUAACUAACCCUCUGUUUGCUCUUUCAUUCUGAGUUCUAUAUUAGUGGCAAAAGCUUGCUUGCUCAAGGCCUUUCAGCUCUGUUUAAAUGCAUCAAUGCAGGAUCAUUGUCUGAAUCUAAGUAAGUUUUAAAUGCAGAAGUUUGUAAACUGUUUUUUAGACAUGGUGAUAUAAGAUGAACAUUGUUGAAUGUAUGAAACUGGGUUAUGAAUACUAUUUGAUGAACCUCAUCCUGUCCUCAUGAUAUUUAUCAAAUUUAAAGUCAGUCUGGCUGUCACCAAUGCUAGCAGAAGCAGUGUAAGGAAGAUGUGAAAUUUCAACAGUUUGGGAUUUCAUUUGAGAAUAUAAGCUCAACUCCCAGUAUUCUAUGACUUUUGGGUGGCUAGUUUUGCUGCUAUAAACUAUGUGAUUAACUGUAAUUUAGCAAUUCAGUAGUUUAUUGUUAGUUGUGCUGUUGUAAUACUAUUGACAAUAAUUUAGAAAUGAAAUAGUUUUAUUAUUGCCAGCCCUGUUUAUGAACAGAACAUGAGUUUCAAAAUUUUUUGUUUCAUGUCCUGCAGUCACUUGUUUUUAAAUUUAUUUCAUGGGGUUUUUUUCCUAGUGCUCUGUGUGUGUGUGUUUUGGGGGAGGGGGGGGAUAAGAGUGUGUGCAUGAGUACAAGCAAGCACCAGCAUGCAUUCAUGUAUGGCAAUCUGUGUACUUAGGAGGUGAGUAAGAAGGGUUUUUUUCUUCGAUAUUUAAAGACCCAAGAUUUUCAUGGUCAUUGCACAUAGAUUUUUGCAUGCAUUUCUAGUUUAUUUUUCUAGGUAGUAAUCAAGUUGACAUAGAACAGGGAAACUAAAUUUUUGUUGAUAAAUAUGGAUUGGUAGAGCAAAGUAAUGUAAAAAUACAGUUGAUGAGCCCUGCGACCAGUUUUGGCACUUCUUUGUCUCUCUAGCUUUUGCAAUUCCAACACUUAAAUUUCUGUUUUGCUUUUGAAGAGAAUCAUGUAGUAGUAGCCACAUAUUCAAAUUCAUAAUCAAAUUCACAGUUUAGGAAAAAAUACAGUUGCUGUUAUUACCUGUGUGUGGUUAAAAUGUUUAUGACGCAAAAGAAUAAAAGAUCUUUUUAACAGUUCUUGCCAUAGAGACUGGCAACUCUCCUGUUUUUCAGGGAUUUGAGGAUUCCAGCAUGCAUAAUUUUUUUAAGCGUGUUUCACAUGUACAACAUGGUGUUAAUGUACAUCUGUACAGAAUGCGUUUUCAUUGCAUAUUGCUUCAGUGACAUGUAUAAUUAAUAAUGGCAGUAAGUACUGUUCCAUUGUGAGCAAUCGUAACUGUUUUUGAAGGUUAAAACUUGCUCAUGUCAUAUUGUGUUCUUUAUGUGUUUUAUCAAUAUUUGCAUUAAGAGCUCUAUGUGCAUUUUUUUCUUCGUGUUUUAUGUUAAUAAUGCCAGUUUCUGAGACUAGUUUAAUCCAAAGUUAAUUAUUAUGCACAGAGGAAACUAAAGGUGGGAGCAAAAUGUGUGGCAGAUGGGGCAUUAUUUUUUUUUCUUUUCAUUUUACUUUGCACCUUUCAGUUUGAGCGAAUUGUCUGUGAGGUCAUUUUUCUGUAAAUAAUUACUGUGGUAACUGAUACCAUACCCGUGAUACUUAUUUUUGAGGAUUUGUGCAAUAAAUGUUUUUGUUUGCAACAUGUCGUUUAACAUCAGGCUGUACAGUCUUGGCUAUCCUUGCAGUGAAAAACCUUAAUUUGCCAAAGGGCCUUUCUUGUGUCAGACACCUUCUAUUUAUAUGUUGGUUUUUGGCUUGUGUGUGUCUUUCACCAAAAUGCAUUUAUCUGCGUUCUUUUUAUAUUUAUGCUCACCUGUAAUGUUGGUUUCAUUAGUAAAUUUUCUAACAAAUUUCAUGUUUGCAAUCAUCUUGCACAUCAGUAGCAAUCUUUCCAACGAAGUUUAUACUUCCUUUAAAAAAUAAUUAGUUAAGAAAGACUGCUGCUUUGUACAUUGCUCUCCAAAUCUGUUUUGCUUAGCUAACCCUUUUACUCUGUGAAGUCUUGUCUGUGAGGUAUCAGCAAAUAAAACUAAUGAGAUGCAAAGAUUUUAGGGAAACAACUGAGAGCACACUAUUCCAGUAAAUUAGUCAAUUUUCUCCUUUUUCUCCACAUUUUGCUGUUCAGCAACUCCACAGUGCAGCUGAAACAGUAAAGGGCAUAAUGAGGUUCAGCUGUGAGGCAUUGUUCUCGGAUUCAGGCCUGAGCAAGCACAGGAGGUCUGUCACAGUUUUGGCAGACACAAGAAUGUUCUCUCCAGUUUGAUCUACUUGUCCAGAAUCACAGACCUUUGCUUCCUGUCUUGAACUUUGGCAUUUGUGAUUUCAGAAGUAUGUUCUGUUUAUUUGGUGGCAAUUAUUUUUCAUUCUAAUGUGUUUGUAAUUAAUUGGCACUUUUAAUUCUUUGUCUGUGUGCGUGUGUAAAUGCUUAAGUGUGAAAAAAGGGGAUUUUUGCACCAAACUUAGCAGUGCAGAGGCUUUAGAAAAAUAGCAAAAGCAAAGUAACGAUAAAGUUUUUUCGCAUCAAAGCACAGUCUUGUUUAAAUGUUUUUUAAACUGGUUUUCACCUUUUAGAAACACGGCAACGCUCUGGAGCUGGUGAUGGACUAUUUCCACGGUACUGCUGACCCUAUGCAAUGAUUUGGUCAGGGGGCUGCAAUGUUAAAAGACAUCAAAUGUUAAAUAUUUUCUGCAAAGGUAACUUACCUAUCAUUUCAUUGAUCUGGUAGACACACUUUCAAACUGGACCAGCUGGGUUUCCCUCGCCUAUCUACCCUCUUGCCUUUGUUGCUAUUUUGGACUCGUCUCUUUAGUGUGGGAAAAGGAAUUGGACUGAUAUUGGUUCUGAGGUGUCUGUAGUGGUCAGGAGGUCUUGUAAAAUUCACACACAUCUAUGGUUGUAUAACGGGCCUCUUACAGAACUAAAGUUGUCAUAUAGGCCUGAAAGAGGUUUGUAAUUUGAUAAAUAUUACAUGCAAAGUAACAUAAUACAUAACAUACAGAAUACAUUCUUCCAUCUCCAGAUCCGUAACAGAGCCGCUGGUUGGUGAUCCUUUGCACACACAUAUCAACUAUUUUUUAAAGUCUUGGCUAGGGUAAAGAAUGUUGGGAAUGUUGUGUAUCAAUAAAUUCAUUAGUACACUAAUUUUCUGCCAGAAAAUCAUUUUAUUUUCAGUUUAUCUCCUACAUUUCCCCCCUCCCCAUCUCCCCUUUUUUUUUUUUUUAAAGUAAAAGGUCGAGGUCACAUUUAGUGUAAUGUCUAAAUUUAGAAGAUUUCUUCAUUGGGAGUCAGCAUUGGUUUGUCAGAUGGCAGUCAUACAUUUUAAAAGUAAUGCACCCAAUACAUCCAUGAAUACCUUUCCCCAAUUCCGGCUGCAUAAGCUUAUGGCCAUGCACCUGUAAUAAUCAGCCUAGAUUUUGUGAAAGAUGGUGGUGAAGAGGCUGAAAUGUAUACUACUGCUGGUACCUUUUCCUGGCCUUGCUGAACACCCUGGCCCCCACACCCAUUCCACCGAAAUAAUAAUUAAAAAAAAACACGCAUACCAAAGAAAUCUAUUGUUUCAUUCCAUAAAUUGUCUAAAUUACGCCCUCAGUGUAAAAGGCUGUUCACAAAAGCAUGUUAGUAAACUGCCCUCUUUAAAAACAGUGUUUGUUGAUCGUCUAUUCUCUAACAUUGGCAUUUUCUUGCCGGGGAAAGUUAGAUAAAAAUUAAGGAAUUGAUACAAGCACCUAAAUUACUGGUUUGUCUUUCCUCCUCUUGUGGUAAUGUUACAGUAUCCAAAAAAUUGUCCCUAUUGCUUUGUUGAUUUAAGUGCUUAUGUAUUGGUCAUAUGGUUUCACAAGGCUUUUGUGUCAAUCCUUCCAUUUCUGUGUAACAUUUUUGCUGUUGCAUAGGUUUUGCAUUUGUCUGCAGUUGUUGUACAUGUUGCUUGUGUACUGUAAGUUUGCAGAUUAACGAGCCAUGCCCUGUAACGGUAUUAUAAUGUGAAUGUAUGAGUGAAUGCCUUGGCUGAAAAUGCCGAAAGGUAAAUAAAAUAUGCUAUUUACCAAUCA